AGCGAACGCUGGCGGCGUGCCUAACACAUGCAAGUCGAACGUGAAAGGGAGCAAUCCCAAGUAAAGUGGCGUACGGGUGAGUAACACGUAGGUAAUCUACCCCAGAAUCUGGAAUAACCGGCCGAAAGGCUGGCUAAUACUGGAUAGAGCGACGGAAUCCGUAAUUGGGUUUUUCGGGAAAGGGAGCCUGUAAAAAGGCCUUCGUUCUGGGAUGAGCCUGCGUCCCAUCAGCUAGUUGGUGAGGUAAAAGCUUACCAAGGCAAUGACGGGUAGCUGGUCUGAGAGGACGAUCAGCCACACUGGAACUGAAACACGGUCCAGACGCCUACGGGAGGCAGCAGUGGGGAAUCUUGCGCAAUGGACGAAAGUCUGACGCAGCAACGCCGCGUGAGUGAAGAAGGCCUUCGGGUUGUAAAGAUCUGUCGAGUGGGACGAAAAUGCUUGGAGUUCACAGCUCCAGGAACUGACGGUACCACUAAAGGAAGCACCGGCUAACUCCGUG
rnacentral:rRNA from 1 species